rnacentral:rRNA from 1 species
CGGUGAAGCCAAGCUUGCUUGGUGGAUCAGUGGCGAACGGGUGAGAAACACGUGAGCAACCUGCCCUGGACUCUGGGAUAAGCGCUGGAAACGGCGUCUAAUACUGGAUAUGAGCUCUCAUCGCAUGGUGGGGGUUGGAAAGAUUUUUUGGUCUGGGAUGGGCUCGCGGCCUAUCAGCUUGUUGGUGAGGUAAUGGCUCACCAAGGCGUCGACGGGUAGCCGGCCUGAGAGGGUGACCGGCCACACUGGGACUGAGACACGGCCCAGACUCCUACGGGAGGCAGCAGUGGGGAAUAUUGCACAAUGGGCGGAAGCCUGAUGCAGCAACGCCGCGUGAGGGAUGACGGCCUUCGGGUUGUAAACCUCUUUUAGCAAGGAAGAAGCUUUUGUGACGGUACUUGCAGAAAAAGCGCCGGCUAACUACGUGCCAGCAGCCGCGGUAAUACGUAGGGCGCAAGCGUUAUCCGGAAUUAUUGGGCGUAAAGAGCUCGUAGGCGGUUUGUCGCGUCUGCUGUGAAAUCCCGAGGCUCAACCUCGGGCCUGCAGUGGGUACGGGCAGACUAGAGUGCGGUAGGGGAGAUUGGAAUUCCUGGUGUAGCGGUGGAAUGCGCAGAUAUCAGGAGGAACACCGAUGGCGAAGGCAGAUCUCUGGGCCGUAACUGACGCUGAGGAGCGAAAGGGUGGGGAGCAAACAGGCUUAGAUACCCUGGUAGUCCACCCCGUAAACGUUGGGAACUAGUUGUGGGGUCCUUUCCACGGAUUCCGUGACGCAGCUAACGCAUUAAGUUCCCCGCCUGGGGAGUACGGCCGCAAGGCUAAAACUCAAAGGAAUUGACGGGGACCCGCACAAGCGGCGGAGCAUGCGGAUUAAUUCGAUGCAACGCGAAGAACCUUACCAAGGCUUGACAUACACGAGAACAUCCCAGAAAUGGGGGACUCUUUGGACACUCGUGAACAGGUGGUGCAUGGUUGUCGUCAGCUCGUGUCGUGAGAUGUUGGGUUAAGUCCCGCAACGAGCGCAACCCUCGUUCUAUGUUGCCAGCUCGUAA